rnacentral:rRNA from 1 species
AGAGUUUGAUCCUGGCUCAGAACGAACGCUGGCGGCGUGGUUAAGACAUGCAAGUCGAACGGNAAUAGUCUGGUAGUAAUAUUAGGUUAUUCAGUGGCGAACGGGUGCGUAACACGUGGGUAACAUGCCGGGAAGCGAGGGAUAGCCCAGGGAAACUUGGAUUAAUACCUCAUGUGGUCGAGAGACUAAAGGUGGUGCAAGCUGCCGCUUCCUGAUUGGCCUGCGGCCUAUCAGCUUGUUGGUGAGGUAACGGCUCACCAAGGCUACGACGGGUAGCUGGUCUUAGAGGACGAUCAGCCAGACUGGGACUGAGACACGGCCCAGACUCCCACGGGAGGCAGCAGUUAGGAAUUUUGGGCAAUGGGCGAAAGCCUGACCCAGCAACGCCGCGUGGGUGACGAAGGCCUUCGGGUCGUAAAGCCCUUUUCUGGGGGACGAUAAUGACGGUACCCCAGGAAGAAGCACCGGCUAACUACGUGCCAGCAGCCGCGGUAAUACGUAGGGUGCAAGCGUUGCCCGGAUUUAUUGGGCGUAAAGGGCGCGCAGGUGGUUCUGUGUGCUCCGCGUGAAAUCGCCGGGCUCAACCCGGCGGGGUCGCGGAUGACUACAGGACUGGAGCCUGGGAGGGGGAAGCGGAAUUCCCGGUGUAGUGGUGGAAUGCGUAGAUAUCGGGAGGAACACCAGUGGCGAAGGCGGCUUCCUGGACCAGAGCUGACACUGAGGCGCGAAAGCGUGGGGAGCGAUCCGGAUUAGAUACCCGGGUAGCCCACGCCGUAAACGAUGCAGACUAGGUGUCGGGGGUAUCGACCCCCUCGGCGCCGACGCUAACGCAUUAAGUCUGCCGCCUGGGGACUACGGCCGCAAGGCUAAAACUCAAAGGAAUUGACGGGGGCCCGCACAAGCAGCGGAGCGUGUGGUUUAAUUCGAUGCAACGCGCAGAACCUUACCUAGGCUUGACAUGCAUGUGGUACCGAGGUGAAAGCUGAGGGACUCGCAAGGGAGCAUGCACAGAUGCUGCAUGGCUGUCGUCAGCUCGUGCCGUGAGGUGUUGGGUUAAGUCCCGCAACGAGCGCAACCCCCGCCGUCAGUUACCUUCUCUGGCGGGACCGCCGGUACAAACCGGAGGAAGGUGGGGAUGACGUCAAGUCAGCACGGCUCUUACGUCUAGGGCUACACACACGCUACAAUGGCCGGUACAACGGGCAGCGAUGGGGCGACCCGGAGCGAAUCCCACCAAAGCCGGUCUCAGUUCGGAUUGCAGGCUGAAACCCGCCUGCAUGAAGUCGGAGUUGCUAGUAACCGCUGGUCAGCACACAGCGGUGAAUACGUUCCCGGGCCUUGUACACACCGCCCGUCACGUCAUGAAAGUUGGAUACGCCUGAAGCCGGUGGCCGAACCGCAAGGACGGAGCCGUCGAGGGUGGAGCCAGCGAUUGGGACGAAGUCGUAACAAGGUA